rnacentral:rRNA from 1 species
AUUGAACGCUGGCGGCAUGCUUUACACAUGCAAGUCGAACGGUAACAGGGAGCUUGCUCCGCUGAUGAGUGGCGAACGGGUGAGUAAUACAUCGGAACGUGCCUAGUAGUGGGGAUAACUACUCGAAAGAGUGGCUAAUACCGCAUGAGAUCUAUGGAUGAAAGCAGGGGACCUGCGGGCCUUGUGCUACUAGAGCGGCCGAUGGCAGAUUAGGUAGUUGGUGGGAUAAAAGCUUACCAAGCCUGCGAUCUGUAGCUGGUCUGAGAGGACGAUCAGCCACACUGGGACUGAGACACGGCCCAGACUCCUACGGGAGGCAGCAGUGGGGAAUUUUGGACAAUGGGGGAAACCCUGAUCCAGCAAUGCCGCGUGCAGGAUGAAGGCCUUCGGGUUGUAAACUGCUUUUGUACGGAACGAAAAGUCUUGGGUUAAUACCCUGGGAUCAUGACGGUACCGUAAGAAUAAGCACCGGCUAACUACGUGCCAGCAGCCGCAGUAAGAC